rnacentral:rRNA from 1 species
UACGUAGGGGGCAAGCGUUAUCCGGAUUUACUGGGUGUAAAGGGGGCGCAGACGGCGAUGCAAGCCAGGAGUGAAAGCCCGGGGCCCAACCCCGGGACUGCUCUUGGAACUGCGUGGCUGGAGUGCAGGAGGGGCAGGCGGAAUUCCUGGUGUAGCGGUGAAAUGCGUAGAUAUCAGGAGGAACACCGGUGGCGAAGGCGGCCUGCUGGUCUGCAACUGACGUUGAGGCCCGAAAGCGUGGGGAGCAAACAGG